UUUAUAAAAAUUUAUACUUUUUAUUUACUAUGAUUGGUUGAAAAAAGGUUAUAAUAAUGUUAUUUGUCACUGCAAAGGAGUUUAGUUGAAAAAUUUAAAAGUAAAUCUAAUGUACCUUUUGCAUAAGGGAUUUUCUAUAAAAAUUAAACAUUUAUUUUUCUCGAAAUAAAUUGACCUAAAAUUAAUAUAUAAUUUAUAUUACAUUAUAAAUUCUAAAUUUAUUUUAGAUGUGAAAUGCUUGUCAAAAUUUAAGAUAACUAGUUUAUUAAAAAAAUUUUACAUUGGCCCAUAAUUAUUUUUUUUUUUUAAUUGACAUUUUUAUAGGUUAGAAUCUUUAGGAUAAGCUAAAGGUUAAAAUUUUUUUAAAAUUAAAGUUUUUAAAAUAAUAUAAGAAAUAUAAUUGUUCUUUGUACUGUUAUAAGUAAAUUUAAAUAAUUGUUUAAAUUUAAUUUAUUUUUAAUAAAAUAAAAAAUAAUGUUUAUUUUAAAAAAUGAAAGUAUUAGUAAAAUUAUUUAAUAAUUUAAAAAAUUAAUUUUAAUAUAAUUUAUAAAUUAAAAUAAGUUUUAAUAAUUCGGCAAAAUUUUUCUUUGACUGUUUAAUAAAAACAACUUAUUCAGAAAGAUACAUUUUAUUGAAUAUAAAUCCUGCUCAAUGAAAUUUUUAAAUUGCUGUAGUAUUUUGACUAUACAAAGGUAUUGUAAUAAGAUUUUAAUUGAAUGCUAAGAGAAUGGAACUACAAGGAAGAGCUAUUUUAAACUUAAAAAUUAAAGUUAUUUUAAUUUGUGAAGAAACAAUUAUUAAAAUUAAGGACAAGAAGACCCUAAGAAUUUUAAAAUCAAUAAUUUUUUAUUAUAAAAGCUUAUUGAUUUUUAGUUGGGGCAACUAAAAAAUAUUAUAAACUUUUUUAUAAAUAAAAUGAUCCAUUAUUAAUGAUAAUUUGGAAAAAAUACUCUAGGGAUAACAGCGUAAUAAUUUUUGAUAGAACAUAUAGACAAAAUAGUUUGCGACCUCGAUGUUGGAUUAGGAUUCUUUUUUAAUGAAGAUGUUAAAAGAAGAAGUUUGUUCAACUUUUAAAGUCCUACAUGAUCUGAGUUUAGACCGAUGAGAAUCAGGUUGGUUUCUAUCUUAAUUGAAAUAAAUUUUUUGGUUAGUACGAAAGGAAUUCCAAAAUUUAAUUUAUUUAAUAUAAUA
rnacentral:rRNA from 1 species